rnacentral:rRNA from 1 species
GACGGAGGGUGCUAGCGUUGUUCGGAAUUACUGGGCGUAAAGGGCGCGUAGGCGGCCUGGUCAGUCGGAUGUGAAAGCCCGGGGCUCAACCCCGGAACGGCAUCCGAGACGGCCAGGCUGGAGACCGGGAGAGGAGAGUGGAAUAGCCAGUGUAGAGGUGAAAUUCGUAGAUAUUGGCUGGAACACCGGUGGUGAAAGCGGCUCUCUGGCCCGGUUCUGACGCUGAGGCGCGAAAGCGUGGGGAGCAAACAGG